UGAAGUGCGAAAAGUGUCAUGACUUGCAGAUUCCCGAGAGCUGACAAAUCUCUGAAUGCAAAUGGCGGCCGGAUAAAACGGUCAUGUACUGUCAGAGUGUUGUUGUUCCUACUCUUCAUUCCCGCGCAAUUCGAACUGGAUUGCGCUGUUGGGAUCUGCGCUUGCAUGUCUCCGUAUAUGCGAGUGUGAAAUAGGAGUGCUGAGAUGCAUAUCAUGUGCAUCUCGGCGGCUUCGCAUGCGGGCCAAAAGCCCCAAUGAUGAAGUUAAAUCUCCAAUAUCUCCACAACAACCUCUGCAGUGCAGGAAAACCCGCUGAACUUAA
rnacentral:misc_RNA from 1 species